rnacentral:rRNA from 1 species
CAGGGUCCACCUGUUCCCGUUUCGCUCACAGAAGUUAAGCUGUGCGGAGCCGAAGAUACUUGACUGGCGACGGUCCGGAAAAAUAGGUCAAUGCCAACA